rnacentral:rRNA from 1 species
UCGCCUGUUUAUCAAAAACAUUGCUUUCUGAAAUACUUACAUAGAAAGUAAUUCCUGCCCAGUGACUAAGUUCAACGGCCGCGGUAUCCUAACCGUGCAAAGGUAGCAUAAUCAUUUGCCUAUUAAUUGUAGGCUAGAAUGAACGGAUAAACGAAAUAGAACCUGUAUCAGCCAGCAACCUAAAAACUAAUCUCUAUAUGAAGAAGUAUAGAUAAAAUAGAAGGACAAGAAGACCCUGUAGAGCUUUAUAUGUAUACAGAUUGUUCACUGUUAAAAUAUUCGGUUGGGGCGACCAAGGGAACACUAAUCACCCUAAAAAAUAAAGAUAUAUAAAUCAAUAUAUUGACCCUUUAAAAGAUCAUAAAAACAAGCUACCUCAGGGAUAACAGGCUAAUCCUAUUUAAGAGUCCAUAUCGAAAAUAGGGGUUGGCACCUCGAUGUUGGCUUAGGGUAUCUAUAUAGCGCAAAAGUUAUAUAAGGAUGGUUUGUUCAACCAAUAAUUCCCUACAUGAUCUGAGUUCAAACCGGAAU